CAGUCGCCACGGUAAUACGAAGGGGGCUAGCGUUACUCGGAAUUACUGGGCGUAAAGGGCGCGUAGGCGGCACGAUUAGUCAGGCGUGAAAUUCCUGGGCUCAACCUGGGGACUGCGCUUGAUACGGUCGAGCUAGAGGAUGGAAGAGGGUUGUGGAAUUCCCAGUGUAGAGGUGAAAUUCGUAGAUAUUGGGAAGAACUCCGGUGGCGAAGGCGGCAACCUGGUCCAUUACUGACGCUGAGGCGCGACAGCGUGGGGAGCAAACAGGAUUAGAUACCCCAGUAGUCCCUGUCUCUUAUAA
rnacentral:rRNA from 1 species